AGUGAACGCUGGCGGUAGGCCUAACACAUGCAAGUCGAACGGCAGCACAGUAAGAGCUUGCUCUUACGGUGGGGGAGGGGCGGACGGGUGAGGAAUACAGCGGAAUCUACUUUUCCGCGGGGGAUAACGUAGGAAAAACUACGGUAUUACCGCAAACGACAUACGGGUGAAGGCAGGGAACCUUCGAACCUUGGGCACUCGAAUGAGCCGAGGUCGGAUUAGCGAGUUGGCGGGGUAAAGGCCAACCAUGGCGACGAUCCGUAGCUGGUCUGAGGGGAUGAUCGGCCACACUGGAACUGAGACACGGUCCAGACUCCUACGGGAGCCCGCAGUGGGGAAUAUUGGCCGAUGGGCGCAAGCCUGAUCCAGCCAUACCGCGUGGGUGAAGAAGGCCUUCGGGUUGUAAAGCCCUUUUGCUGGGACAGAAAAGCAGCAGGUUAAUACCCCGCUGUUCUGACGGUACCCAAAGAAUAAGCACCGGCUAACUUCGUG
rnacentral:rRNA from 1 species